rnacentral:rRNA from 1 species
GACGAACCGUGCGAACGUUAUUCGGAAUCACUGGGCUUAAAGCGCGUGUAGGCGGGACGGCACGUCGGUCGCUGAAAGCCCCCGGCUCAACCGGGGAACGGGCGCCGAUACGACCGCCCUGGAGGGACGUAGGGGACCUGGAACAUCCGGUGGAGCGGUGAAAUGCGUUGAGAUCGGAUGGAACGCCCGUGGCGAAAGCGAGGUCCUGGACGUUUUCUGACGCUGAGACGCGAAAGCCAGGGGAGCGAACGGG